rnacentral:rRNA from 1 species
UACGUAGGGGGCAAGCGUUGUCCGGAAUCAUUGGGCGUAAAGAGCGUGUAGGCGGCCCGAUAAGUCCGCUGUGAAAGUCCAGGGCUCAACCCUGGGAUGCCGGUGGAUACUGUCGGGCUCGAGUCCGGAAGAGGAGGGCGGAAUUCCCGGUGUAGAGGUGAAAUUCGUAGAUAUCGGGAGGAACACCAGUGGCGAAGGCGGCUCUCUGGACAGGUACUGACGCUGAGACGCGAAAGCGUGGGUAGCAAACAGG